CAGACUCCUACGGGAGGCAGCAGUGGGGAAUCUCGCGCAAUGGGGGGAACCCUAAAGCAGCGACGCCGCGUGCGGGACAAAGGCCUUCGGGUCGUAAGCCGCUUUCAGCAGGGAAGAGUCAAGACUGUACCUGCAGAAGAAGCCCCGGCUAACUACGUGCCAGCAGCCGCGGUAAUACGUAGGGGGCGAGCGUUAUCCGGAUUCAUUGGGCGUAAAGCGCGCGUAGGCGGCCCCGCAGGCCAGGGGUCGAAGCGGGGGGCUCAACCCCCCGAAGCCCCCGGAACCUCCGCGGCUUGGGUCCGGUAGGGGAGGGUGGAACACCCGGUGUAGCGGUGGAAUGCGCAAAUAUCGGGUGGAACACCGGUGGCGAAGGCGGCCCUCUGGGCCGAGACCGACGCUGAGGCGCGAAAGCUGGGGGAGCGAACAGAAUUAGAUACCCUGGUAGUCCCAGCCGUAAACGAUGGACGCUAGGUGUGGGGGGACGAUCCCCCCCGUGCCGCAGCCAACGCAUUAAGCGUCCCGCCUGGGGAGUACGGCCGCAAGGCGAAAACUCAAAAGGAAUUGAUGGGGGCCCGCACAAGCAGCGGAGCAUGUGGCUUAAUUCGAAGCAACGCGAAGAACCUUACCAGGGCUUGACAUAUGGGUGAAGCGGGGGAGACCCCGUGGCCGAGAGGAGCCCAUACAGGUGGUGCAUGGCUGUCGUCAGCUCGUGUCGUGAGAUGUUGGGUUAAGUCCCGCAACGAGCGCAACCCCCGCCGCGUGUUGCCAUCGGGUGAUGCCGGGAACCCACGCGGGACCGCCGCCGUCAAGGCGGAGGAGGGCGGGGACGACGUCAAGUCAUCAUGCCCCUUAUGCCCUGGGCUGCACACGUGCUACAAUGGCCGGUACAGAGGGAUGCCACCCCGCGAGGGGGAGCGGAUCCCGGAAAGCCGGCCCCAGUUCGGAUUGGGGGCUGCAACCCGCCCCCAUGAAGUCGGAGUUGCUAGUAAUCGCGGAUCAGCAUGCCGCGGUGAAUGCGU
rnacentral:rRNA from 1 species